rnacentral:rRNA from 1 species
CCCUUAGUAGCGGCGAGCGAAACGGGCAGAGCCCAAACCAACAAGCUUGCUUGUUGGGGUUGUAGGACACUCUAUACGGAGUUACAACGGACGACAUUAGACGAAUCAUCUGGAAAGAUGAAUCAAAGAAGGUAAUAAUCCUGUAGUCGAAAAUGUUGUCUCUCUUGAGUGGAUCCUGAGUACGACGGAGCACGUGAAAUUCCGUCGGAAUCUGGGAGGACCAUCUCCUAAGGCUAAAUACUCUCUAGUGACCGAGAGUGAACCAGUACCGUGAGGGAAAGGUGAAAAGCACCCCGGAAGGGGAGUGAAAUAGAACCUGAAACCGUGUGCUUACAAGUAGUCAGAGCCCGUUAAUGGGUGAUGGCGUGCCUUUUGUAGAAUGAACCGGCGAGUUACGAUUUGAUGCAAGGUUAAGCAGUAAAUGUGGAGCCGUAGCGAAAGCGAGUCUGAAUAGGGCGUUUAGUAUUUGGUCGUAGACCCGAAACCAGGUGAUCUACCCUUGGUCAGGUUGAAGUUCAGGUAACACUGAAUGGAGGACCGAACCGACUUACGUUGAAAAGUGAGCGGAUGAACUGAGGGUAGCGGAGAAAUUCCAAUCGAACCUGGAGAUAGCUGGGUCUCUCCGAAAUAGCUUUAGGGCUAGCCUCAAGUGAUGAUUAUUGGAGGUAGAGAACUGUUUGGACGAGGGGCCCCUCUCGGGUUACCGAAUUCAGACAAACUCCGAAUGCCAAUUAAUUUAACUUGGGAGUAAGAACAUGGGUGAUAAGGUCCGUGUUCGAAAGGGAAACAGCCCAGACCACCAGCAAAGGUCACAAAUUAUAUGUUAAGUGGAAAAGGAUGUGGCGUUGCCCAGACAACUAGGAUGUUGGCUUAGAAGCAGCCAUCAUUUAAAGAGUGCGUAAUAGCUCACUAGUCGAGUGACA